GAUGAACGCUGGCGGCGUGCCUAAUACAUGCCAGUCGAGCGAACGGACUAGAAGCUUGCUUCUCUGAUGUUAGCGGCGGACGGGUGAGUAACACGUGGAUAACCUACCUAUAAGACUGGGAUAACUUCGGGAAACCGUAGCUAAUACCGGAUAAUAUUUUGAACCGCAUGGUUCAAAAGUGAAAGACGGUCUUGCUGUCACUUAUAGAUGGAUCCGCGCUGCAUUAGCUAGUUGGUAAGGUAACGGCUUACCAAGGCAACGAUGCAUAGCCGACCUGAGAGGGUGAUCGGCCACACUGGAACUGAGACACGGUCCAGACUCCUACGGGAGGCAGCAGUAGGGAAUCUUCCGCAAUGGGCGAAAGCCUGACGGAGCAACGCCGCGUGAGUGAUGAAGGUCUUCGGAUCGUAAAACUCUGUUAUUAGGGAAGAACAUAUGUGUAAGUAACUGUGCACAUCUUGACGGUACCUAAUCAGAAAGCCACGGCUAACUACGUG
rnacentral:rRNA from 1 species